rnacentral:rRNA from 1 species
AGAGUUUGAUCAUGGCUCAGAAUCAACGCUGGCGGCGCGCUUAACACAUGCAAGUCGCACGAGAAAGGGAGCAAUCCCAAGUAAAGUGGCGUACGGGUGAGUAACACGUGGGUAAUCUACCUCUUAGUGGGGAAUAACCCUGGGAAACCGGGGCUAAUACCGCAUAAGCCUGGAAAGGGAAAGCAGCAAUGCGCUGAGAGAGGAGCCCGCGGCCGAUUAGCUAGUUGGUGAGGUAACGGCUCACCAAGGCUUCGAUCGGUAGCCGGCCUGAGAGGGCACACGGCCACACUGGCACUGAAACACGGGCCAGACUCCUACGGGAGGCAGCAGUGGGGAAUCUUGCACAAUGGGGGAAACCCUGAUGCAGCGACGCCGCGUGGGUGAUGAAGUCCUUCGGGAUGUAAAGCCCUUUCGACGGGAAAGAUCAUGACGGUACCCGGAGAAGAAGCUGCGGCUAACUACGUGCCAGCCGCCGCGGUAAUAC